GUAGGUGGCAAGCGUUGUCCGGAAUUAUUGGGCGUAAAGCGCGCGCAGGCGGUCCUUUAAGUCUGAUGUGAAAGCCCACGGCUCAACCGUGGAGGGUCAUUGGAAACUGGGGGACUUGAGUACAGAAGAGGAAAGCGGAAUUCCAAGUGUAGCGGUGAAAUGCGUAGAGAUUUGGAGGAACACCAGUGGCGAAGGCGGCUUUCUGGUCUGUAACUGACGCUGAGGCGCGAAAGCGUGGGGAGCAAACAGGGAUUAGAUACCCUGGUAGUCCACGCCGUAAACGAUGAGUGCUAAGUGUUAGGGGGUUUCCCGCCCCUUAGUGCUGCAGCUAACGCAUUAAGCACUCCGCCUGGGGAGUUCGGCCGCAAGGCUG
rnacentral:rRNA from 1 species